GAACUACUUUUUCCGUUUCAUAUUAAGUGCCGAAAUAUUAUAUGUAUCUAGACGUAUUUUAGUAUAUAGAUACGUUCAUAUUUAGAUAAAUUUGAGUCACUUAGUAUGGAACGGAGAGAGUACAAU
rnacentral:pre_miRNA from 1 species